UCUGGGACAUCUGUCUUCUCCUGUCCUGGGACUUUGGUGCUCCUGGUUCUCAGAUCUUUGGACUCAGAUCAGGACUUACACCAUUGACUCCCCUGGUUCUCAGGGCUUCUGGUUUGGACUGGAACCACACCACUGGCUUUCCUGGGUCUCCAGCUUGUAGAUGGCAGAUCAUGGUCCUUCUCAGACUACACGAUAGUGUGAGACAAUCCUUCAUCCUGAAUCUCUUUCUAUAUAGCUAUAUAUCUCUUAUUGAUUCUGUCUCUCUGGAGACCUCUGAUGAACACAAGUAGCUACACACAAAAUCUGAUCAUGAUAAGUGCCAUGGAGAGAAAUAAAACAGGGUAAGAAAGAUGUGGAGUGUGGGAUUGAAGCGUUACAAUUUUAAUAGGGUGGACAUGGACAGUUUUACCAAGAAGGUGACAUUUGAGUAAAGACUUAAAGGAGGUGAAAAUGUGAGUCACACAGACAUCUUGGAGACAAGCACUACAUGGUGAGGAAAAGCAAGGCCCCCAAAGCAAGAGCUGUUGGAGGAAUUUCAAGGAGGCCAGCGUGGCUGGAACAGAGUGAGCAAGUGGAAUGGAGUGGCAGGGAAUGAGUGAGGGAGACAACAGCUCAGUAGGACCUUGUGGGCUACUGGAAAGACUUUGGCUUUGACUCUCAGUGAGAUAAGGAGGUAUUUGAAGGAGUUUUAGCAGAGAAGGAACAAUUCUGUUUAUUUUUAGGAGCUCUUUAUAUAUUUAGGAAAUUACUUCUUUGUUAGUCAUAUAUUUUGGAAUUUGUUGUUCCCCGUUUGUCAUUUCUGUUUCUACAUUUUGCUUAUAAUAUUUGUCUAUGUAAACCUUAAUAUGUACUUGGUUAAAUUGAUAAAUUCUUUGCAUAAUUAAUAGCUAGCUAUUGUUGGCCUACCUAUAAUUAAUUUUUGCUUUAUCUAGUAAUAGGCCUGAAUUUUCAUUUGGGAUCCAGCCCUCUCCCUGACACUAUGCAGGGCCUGGGAGACUAAAGCCUGCUGGAAAUAACUCCAGCUUGGCCCUGCCAAACAUUACAACACCUAGCACCUGCUCUCCCCACCAUAGUGACUGAUUUGGGCAGGAAUGAGACCACAGCCACUCCAAGAGCCCAGCUGUUGGCUACCAGUAACAUCUUCUCCUCUAAACAGGAGAUCCAGCUAUAUUGAAGGCUUCCAAAAUUACCCUAUGUCUACCUGUCACAGGAAUGUUCAGAGGACUAAGCCUCUGCCUUUCUCCACCCCAUACUUACUUCAUAUGGAACUAUGAAUGGGCAACUUCACAAUUUAUUAUUUACGUCACCUAGAUGCAAGUCAGAGGGAGAAGCAACAAAUCAGCAGUACCUAAGAAGUUCUCAAGUCCUCAAGUGAUGGAGUCAUGCUAUGAUGCUCAGAGUGGUCUUGAGCUCCUGGCCUCAAGCAAUCCUCCCACCUCAGCCCCCUGAGUAGCUGGGAUUAUAGGUGAGAGGCACCAUGCCUGGAUUUGCUUUAUAAAUUUUGAUAUGUUACUUGGUGCAUAGAUAUUCAUUGCUGUUAGACCUUCAUUAUGUGUUGUACCCUGCCCUUCUUUGGUUCACUUUUCCUUGAAUUCAGUCUUGUCUGAUAUUAAUUUUCAGCUGUCUGCUUUCUUCUUAUUUCCAUUUUUCUAAUAUGCUUUUGCCUACUCAUUUGCUUUCAAUUUUUUCUGAGUCAUUUCAUUCUAGAUGAGUAUAUUACAGUCAGUACUUAAUUGGGUUUUUCUUUGUCACUGAAUAUGAGUGUCUCUUUUCCUGUGUAUUGAUAGGGUAGAUAUGUGUAGUAUGAGUGUUACAAUUUUUUAAAAAACUUUGAUUUCUCUCCUUUGUUUUAUUUGGGGUCUCCGGUUAUUUUUUAAGGUGUAUAGUGUCAUUUUAUUUUUAAUGUUUGCCUCUGUAAAAAUAAUUUUAUAGGCUGUACUUAAUCUUCUAUUUAUUUAGCUAGUUUAUAUUGACUCUUCAAUAACAGUAGUAAAUGUCCCUACUUCUAACUCCCCUUGCCCUCCACCUUUUAAUUUUGUGGGGUAUACUACUGGCCUUAGUUUUUCUAGUGGUUAAUUUUAUACAUUUAAAUAGGUUUAUACCUUUUAAACUUCAAUGGCCACCUUUAAAAAUAUUUUGACCCCACCCACUAUAAAAAAUAAACAUGCCAUCUUACACGCACAAUCUCACUUUCUCUCCCCUUACAUUCCCUAAUUUUUACUGGGUAUUUUAAUAUUUCUUCAUCAUCGUGGUUGAUUACAUUUACAUGUAUAUUGCAGUGGUAGUUCCCAUAAUUGUUAUAACCUUUAACCAUAGUUCUACAUUUAUUUUUGCCACCGUUUUUCCCAUUCACCUUUUGGUUCAACUUUAUCUUCUAGUAGUGUCUUCAAAAAAGUGUUCUUGGAAACUACAGCCCAUGAAACAUUAUUGCAUAUUUGAAAAUAUUUAUCUGUCACCAUUACACCUGAAUGACAAUUUAGCUAGCUCAAAUUUACUGGCUCACAUCAUCUUUUUUUUGGUAAUUUUUUAAGUACUUCUCUACUGUCAUGUAAUGUUGUAUGUAGGAUAGCCUAAAGCCAACUUGUGUUUUUUUAUUUUGCUGUUAUAGUAGUUUGAUCAUUUUUGCCUAGAUGCCCCAUAGGAUUAUUUUUCUUUGUCUUUAUUUCAGGAAACCUUACUAGACUAUGGUUCAGUGCUGACUAGACAUUUUUUUCCUUAAGAAACACCAUGCCCUUUAGAUCCUUAGAUUCAAAUCUUUUUUAAUAUCAGUAAAGUUUUUAAAUUUACAUAUUUGGAUAUUUUAUACUUCUCUAGUUUUUUCUUCUUAAAGAAGAAAACAUUAAUUCUGUCUUUGCCUGUCUUCCAUAUCUACAAUUUUCUUCUAAUCACUUUUUAUAAUUUCCAUUUCAUUUUGCUCAAUUGCCUCAAAGCUGCUAUCUAUUUUUCUGUUGUCAACAAUCUGUACUCUUACAUCAGCUACUAUGAUAAUAUUGUGUCACCAUUUACUACUAUUUACAAGCUAACCAUAAUUUCUCUGAUGAUUUUAGUUUUCUCUUCUACUUUGUGUCCUAGAUACAGGCAGCUCAAUUUUAAUUUUUGUUGCUUUUCUUGAUUCCUUAUACCUCUGCAUUAAGCUCUUAAUUCACAAAUUACUUCCAUUGUUAAGUUAUUGAGUUCUUAAACAAAUAUUUGGUCAUGAUUUUCAUCUACUCCACAUCAAAAUGUUCAUACUGUGUAGGCUGUUUGCCUUUUUUGUCCUGCUAUUUUCCACCAUUUUGUGACAUUUUUGUAUGGAUCUCCUUGUUCCUUUUUUAUUAUUAGUCAUCCUUGAGUGAGCAGAAAUCUUCCUAGAGCAGGUAUUUGAAAGAAGUAGUGUGGAAGAGGGGCUGGGGCUGUGUUCUGCGUUAGUAGAAAAUCCCCUAAUUCUUAGAAAAAUCCUUUAUGAUUCAUGGUCUUGUGGGAGAAGGUUGUGAAGCGGGUUUUGUGAAUGUGCUUCAUGUGCAAUAGAGAGUGACUGAGAGGUGGUUUAACCUUUCUUCUUAGCUCACAAAGAAUGGCUGCUACAGAGCUGCUUAACACCCACAGUUUUUCUUCUACAUGCUGCACAUUUACAAAGAUGGAGUAUCCGUGAGUUUUCUCACUCAUUCCUACCUCCCCUGCCAUUUUAAAGUAUCCAAGGAAGUUGGGGAGAUUCCCUCAGCUAAACAGCCACCCAGAUCUUAUUGUUCCAAACAAAAAAUUAUUAGAUUUGCCCUCUGAGCAGGUCACCUACUUUGGAGAAUUUUGUGCUCUGCCAGCUCUCCUCAAGAUUUGGAAAAGCAGUUAUUUUCUAUUGGAGCCCCCAUCACUCCAGUCCAAAGUUCACUGCAUGUGACAUCCCAUCUUAUUUGUCUGGUUCCUGAUUAUAGGAGUUUCCCAGUUUCAACAAAAAUACUGUCUUUGUUUUUGUUUCUCAUUCAUUUUUCCCCAAUUUUGUUUCAAAGCGAAAAGUAAAAACAUUCUUACUCUAACAUCUUAAAAUUAAUGUCUGGGAGGAACCUAAACUGCUUAUUAAUAUAUGCCAUGCUAUAUGUGAUAUGGCAGAGACUGCUACCUGUCCACCAGAAUCUAUUUAUUUUUCUUGGAUGCACAAUAAGACUACAUUUCCUAGUCUCCCUUGCAAUUACAUGUGACCAUGUCAUUAAGAUUUAGUGGAUGAAAUUUAAGCAGAAGCAAGGUGUGUAAAUUCUAGGGCUGGCCCAUUACAAACUUUAACAUGGGCACCUGUGUGUUUUUCCUUUUCUGCUUAAUUGGGUUGGAGAUAAUCACAGUGAUGCUGAAAGCCAUGUGCUAAAGAAGGCAGAGCCUCCUUCUGCUUGGGCUCCUGAAUGACUGUGUGGAACAGAGGCCCUUGCCACUCUUGGGCCAUUCUGGAUUAUUACAUGCACAAAGAGUAAAGUUCUUUUCUGUUAAGCCAUUAGAUGUAUGGGUUUAUUUGCUGUUACAGCCUAGUCGAACCCAAAUGAUGUAGUGAGGGAGGCAGGACAAGGAAGAAACCUAUUCAGUAUGGAGUUAUCCUUAGGGACAAGUUACAAAAAUUAUAAGGAUCAGACACCACUGCUGGUUGAUCCAUUAUAGACCAGAAUAAGCAGGUGGUAUGAUUCCAGAAGGAGAUGCCAUGGUUGUGUGAGAGAGAGAUUAACCAUUCCUAUAAACAGAAGGGUCAAAGAAAGUAGCCAGUCACCAGAAUGCUUAUAUUAAGGAGGAUUGUGACUACCUGUAUAUAAAGUAUAGGAAGAAAAUGGGGCAGGGCAAUUAAGAUGAAUUGCAGACACAACUAUUUGUGCAUAUUAAUUUGAAUUUAAAUUUAAACUUAAUUUAAGGAUAAUUUAAAGGAAAAUCUUCCCUUACCUAUUUCAUGCUGAAGGGGUCUUUCAAGUUGUCAAACUCUCUCUAUAUAAAUAAGACUGCAUAAUCCAGACCCUCCGGAAUCCAGAGAUGAAUUGCAUGUGGUAGCUGAUGUGUGGGAAGCCCACAGAGCAGCACUUCUGGUCAUUGCCAUCCAGCUAGCUGGUGCUCUCAGAAGAAUGAGAUGAAGAGGCAUGACUUUCAAGCUUCCUCUGCCAUACAAGAGGCCUUCCCUGUGACUUCCCUUCAGCAUCAGCAAUAGCAUUCAAGAAACUGGCAUUGCUCACUCUGAAGAGCUGCGGGAAAAAGAGGUAAAGAAGUGAGAACUUCUCCAAAGCUGUUCCAGGGGAGAGGGCUGCAGAUUGGAAGUCCUGCAUAAGCUGACGUCUGUGCUGAGAAUGAAGGUUGUUCCAGAAAUUGAGAAGAAGAGAGAAAAAAGAAAAUAUUUCUGGCACCAUCACCAGAUAGUUCUCAAAUAGGUACACAAGUUACCCUUAAACAUAUAAAAAGGUGGUCAACUUACUCAUAUUAAGAUAAAUGCAAAUUAAAGCUACACUGAGACUUCUGGUUCCAGGAAAAAAAUAGGAUUUUUUGCACACUUCCAGUAAUGGGGGGGACAUGGCAUUUCUCCCUAAGUACAGCUGAAAACCCUGGACACUAUAUAUAAAACAAACAUGAGAAGAUUUUGAACAUCAGAGAGAAGGAGGCAUUCCAGGACCUGGGCAUGACAUGACAGUGAGUUUCCUGCUUUUUUUUCCCCCCCCCUCAUAUAUUCCACCGAGAGUGAAGAACCUGGCAAUGUGGAAAGGCCAAUAGGUACAGGAAAAAAGGAAAUUUCCACAAAAGUCUACUUUCUUCAGCCAAAGGACCCGGAAAGGAGCAGCCACAUUGAGACAAAACUAUCGAACAACAGUCACUCAAUUUUAGUCAAACAUCACAGAAAUAACUAUGGCCUCAGCCCCAUUCCAGCCAACAAAGACUGAGUGGGGAGCCUAGACUUCCAUCCUCAUCACACUGAAACCAAGCACCACAAGAGUGGUGUCGCAGAAGGCCAAGUGAUGAGCUGGGAUUUUCAACUCCCUCUCCCCAGCAGUAAAGAGGCUGCCAUCAUGCUGUGUCACCAGAGGGCACAUGGAGCCCAUUGGUAACAAGAAGCCCCAUCCCUCUUGCUACAGUGGUGUCAGAGGACACUUAGUGGAAUCUAUAUUUUCACCAUCAUCCAUUGGUGACAAAGCUACCCCCAAUGGUGUCAGGGGAGACCAUACAGGGAAGCAGAAUUUCUACCUCUGAACAGCAGUAAUAAGGUGUCCUUCCCACUCCCUGCUUGAGUGGUAUUAUUGAAGGUAUCUCCUGCUGGCAGAAAUCAACCCUGCCCCCCUAUGCAGUAUCAGUGGAGGCCCUGUGAAGGGUAGUAAUGAGGUGUCUUUCCCCAUCUGGACCAGGGAUGUAUCAGUGGAAGCCUGGUGGGGAGUCCGAAUGAAUUUCUACCUCCGUCCAGCAGUAAUAAGAAUCCCUGAGUGUCAACAGAGGCCCAGUGGAGAACCUAGAAUUCCAUCCUCAACUAGCAGCAAUGAAGCAGCACUCCUGUUCUCAGUCAAGCUGGAACUCUAUUAAAUACGUUUGUUGGUGGUAAUGGUAUUUAUAGGGGUGACAGCUCCAAAACUACUUUUUGUGUAUUAUGGAAAUGAGCAAAGAAUAAAUUCGUUAAUGUUGUUGGAAACUAAAGU
rnacentral:lncRNA from 10 species